rnacentral:rRNA from 1 species
GACGAACGCUGGCGGCGCGCCUAACACAUGCAAGUCGAACGAGCGAGAGAGAGCUUGCUUUCUCGAGCGAGUGGCGAACGGGUGAGUAACGCGUGAGGAACCUGCCUCAAAGAGGGGGACAACAGUUGGAAACGACUGCUAAUACCGCAUAAGCCCACGACCCGGCAUCGGGUUGAGGGAAAAGGAGCAAUCCGCUUUGAGAUGGCCUCGCGUCCGAUUAGCUAGUUGGUGAGGUAACGGCCCACCAAGGCAACGAUCGGUAGCCGGACUGAGAGGUCGACCGGCCACACUGGAACUGAGAGACGGUCCAG